CGCCUGCCUUGAGUUCCUGACUCCUUUUCCUCUUCAAGUCGCUCUCAGUCAGUGUUUUAUCACAGCAGUAAAAAUCAAACUAAGAUCUCUACCAGGUCGCUACCUGUGCCUACAGAAGAGACUGAGAACCCAAUCUGUGACCCACCUGUGUUGGAAGGAGAGUACUUCCUUAUGAGGAUGUCAUGGCUUGUUCUCAGGCUGAAGGUCAGAACCGAGAUGGAUUCCAAAGAAGAACAGGCUGACUUAUCAUCUGUGCCUGGCUUUUAUCACCAUUGUGGUGGCACAGUUGACGUCAAUGAUUUACAUGGAGCUGCAUCUACAGCUGUUCGGCUAUUUGUGUUUUAGGCAGUGCCUCAGUUUCCAAAACAGAUGUCCACAUCUGAGAGUAUAGUCGGGAUAAGAACAUGAGACCCUUACAGUCAAGUUAGAACUUGAAGCCUACCUAAGCCCCAUCUGGGGGUUUUGCAAAUCUGUAAAGACAGGAUAUAAAAUAAUUGCUCACACCAACAUUAGACAAAAUAGUCUCAGGUUCCUGGGGCCCUCAAAUGAACUAGUGAAUCUCAUCCAUGCCCAUGGACAAGAUGUGGGAUAGUGUCUAUUUUUAAAAUAAAAAUAUUUAUUUUUAUGUUUUUAACCAUAUAUGUAUAUGUGUUGGGGAUGGGCACAUGAGUGCAAUUGCCUUCAAAAGCCAGAAGGGGGCAGUGGAUCUCCUGGAGCCAGAGUGGCAGGCAGUUGUGCGCUGCUUGAUGUGGGCGCUGGAAACUGAACUUGAGUCCUCUGCAAGAGCACCGCUCAGUCUUGAUCUCUGGCUGAGACAUCUCAGCAGUCUCCCGAGCAAGUCUGCUUUCUUUACACACACUCUUCAGCUGGAGCAUGUGGCCUGCUGCAUGGCAUGGCGACCAAGUGCAGAAUGACUGUUUAUUGACAUCUACUGACAAACCCAGAGAGAUCAGUUUGAUUGUCUUGUAACCUACUAACCACACAUAUCUGCAUGUAAUGGGUUGGUUCUACUUCGUGAGCUGAGACUGCAUUCUCGUUGACUAUUAAGAAGCACAAUCUACACCACUUUCCGUAUUUCCAUGGCAUUUAAGGAUGUUCACAAUCUGGUUUCGUUUGCCCAACAAUGUAGAAGACCAGGCAUAGAUAAGAUGUCAGCCAGGAAGCUGGGGAAGAGAAGAAAAACAGAAAGUACUAGUUCCAUUUCCUGCCACCCUGAGCUCAGUACAAAAGCCACUUUAAACGACUGAUGAUCAUUUUUAUUGCACCGCCCAUUGCUCUUGAAAGUUCUGGCUGCGCACUAAUGAGUUUUCCUCCCACAAAUUUAAUUUGCAUCUCCAGUAAGUACCAAGAGCAGCAGUUUUUCUAUGGACUUAAAGUAGAUGACUUCCUUUGUGCUUAUGAUUUAUGCCACAAGUAAUUUUCUCUUUUAAUAGGGAACAUUUUAGUGACUUAAAAUUUAAAAUUAAUUAUUAAUAUGUGAAAGCUACUUUUUAUGAGAAACCCGCUGCAUAGUUUUCUCUUUACAUUUGUUGGUCUUUAAUCAUUUGUUUCAUAAUUUUUAUUUUCCCUUUUGCAUAUUUUUGUUUAUGUAAUAUAAAUAGUCUAUGGAAGCAUGAAAAAAAUACUAUUUGCUCUAAACAACGAAAGUAUGUAAUUGGUUAUAUCUAUUUCAUUUUAUUAAUAUUUCUCCUUAAAAUGCCUAUGUGCUCUGUCAUCAGUCUAAUUAAAGUUUAAAAAU
rnacentral:lncRNA from 1 species